UAUCUUUUGUAAUAUAGUUAGAGCUAGUAAAGUUCGUGUUAUAUUUCAAAACAUUUUUGGCAAACAGCUGGGGGAACUUCUGAGAUUCACAUCAUGAAUAUCACGCUAAUUAUAGUGUUGUUGGCUCUCAUUUCAGCCGCCUACGCCUUUCUGUCCUCCCCCUGUCCCCCAGAGUGUGACUGUGGGCCGGGCUUGGACUGUGCUAUAGGCAACAACAUCUGUGGCUUCUACUGUGUUUCGUCCUUGAACAUACACACCUAAGUCAGGUCAGAAGUUUGUUACACAGCUACAGGGAAAGAUGAAAGUACAGAUGGCAAUACAAGAAGUGAUAAUUUUUAAAACAGCGUUAAAGCAAUAACUCAGCAUGUUUGUGCAAAUAAAAUUGUGUCUAAUUGUAAAAAAAUAAAGUAUUGUUUAAGUAUUGUU